rnacentral:rRNA from 1 species
AACGAACGCUGGCGGCAUGCCUAACACAUGCAAGUCGAACGAGACCUUCGGGUCUAGUGGCGCACGGGUGCGUAACGCGUGGGAACCUGCCUUUAGGUUCGGAAUAACUCAGAGAAAUUUGAGCUAAUACCGGAUGAUGUCUUCGGACCAAAGAUUUAUCGCCUUUAGAUGGGCCCGCGUUGGAUUAGCUAGUUGGUGGGGUAAAGGCCUACCAAGGCGACGAUCCAUAGCUGGUCUGAGAGGAUGAUCAGCCACGCUGGGACUGAGACACGGCCCAGACUCCUACGGGAGGCAGCAGUGGGGAAUAUUGGACAAUGGGCGAAAGCCUGAUCCAGCAAUGCCGCGUGAGUGAUGAAGGCCUUAGGGUUGUAAAGCUCUUUUACCCGAGAUGAUAAUGACAGUAUCGGGAGAAUAAGCUCCGGCUAACUCCGUG